rnacentral:rRNA from 1 species
GCAGCAUGGUCUUAGCUUGCUAAGGCCGAUGGCGACCGGCGCACGGGUGAGUAACACGUAUCCAACCUGCCGUCUACUCUUGGACAGCCUUCUGAAAGGAAGAUUAAUACAAGAUGGCAUCAUGAGUCCGCAUGUUCACAUGAUUAAAGGUAUUCCGGUAGACGAUGGGGAUGCGUUCCAUUAGAUAGUAGGCGGGGUAACGGCCCACCUAGUCUUCGAUGGAUAGGGGUUCUGAGAGGAAGGUCCCCCACAUUGGAACUGAGACACGGUCCAAACUCCUACGGGGGGCAGCAGUGAGGAAUAUUGGUCAAUGGGCGAGAGCCUGAACCAGCCAAGUAGCGUGAAGGAUGACUGCCCUAUGGGUUGUAAACUUCUUUUAUAAAGGAAUAAAGUCGGGUAUGGAUACCCGUUUGCAUGUACUUUAUGAAUAAGGAUCGGCUAACUCCAUGCCAGCAGCCGCGGUAAUACGGAGGAUCCGAGCGUUAUCCGGAUUUAUUGGGUUUAAAGGGAGCGUAGAUGGAUGUUUAAGUCAGUUGUGAAAGUUUGCGGCUCAACCGUAAAAUUGCAGUUGAUACUGGAUAUCUUGAGUGCAGUUGAGGCAGGCGGAAUUCGUGGUGUAGCGGUGAAAUGCUUAGAUAUCACGAAGAACUCCGAUUGCGAAGGCAGCCUGCUAAGCUGC